rnacentral:lncRNA from 10 species
GCUAGCAAUCAGCGAGACUCCGUGGGCGUAGGACCCUCCGAGCCAGGUGCGGGAUGUAAUCUCGUGGUGCGCCGUUUUUUAAGCCCGUCGGAAAAGCGCAGUAUUCGGGUGGGAGUGACCCGAUUUUCCAGGUGCCGUCUGUCACCCCUUUCUUUGACUUGGAAAGGGAACUCCCUGACCCCUCGCGCUUCCCAGGUGAGGCAAUGCCUCGCCCUGCUUCGGCUCGUCCACGAUGCGCGCACCCACUGGCCUGCGCCCACUGUCUGGCACUCCCUAGUGAGAGAAACCCGGUACCUCAGAUGGAAAUGCAGAAAUCACCCGUCUUCUGCGUCGCUCACGCUGGGAGCUGUAGACCGGAGCUGUUCCUAUUCGGCCAUCUUGGCUCUCCCUUAGUCUAGAUUGCAGCUAAUCUUCCCCUUACAUGACACCUACAAGUUAAACAAACUGCAACUAGGAAGAUCGUGAUCAUUUGACUAGGACCUGGAUUGUUUGAGAGAGGCAGUCUAAAAGUAAGUUUUUACUAAUUAUUUUUGAACCUUGUAAUGGCAUUUUAAGCAACUGCUUUCACCUACAAUAAUAGUUACUUAUUUUACUUUUCCUGAAUAAGCCAGGCUCUUUCCUAAGUUUAUUAAAUGUAUUGUCUACUCUACCCCUUAUACCACAGACUCACAAUGUAGAUACUAUCAUGAUUAUAAUAAUCAUACUAUUAAUAAAAAUUAAUAUUACUUUAUUUGUAUUAUGGCUACUAUUGUUCUAUUGACAAAAAGAGAAGAGAGGUUAAGUAACGCGCAUAGAGAGAUAAGUACCAGGUCCCCAAAUAAACCUCAACCAUGUGGUUAAAGCCUAUUAAUAGCCUGACCACAAGCCCUCUGAGGUGGGAGCCUGGACACUUAAUAUCCUAUUAAUCCCUACUGUGCUGUGGGCUAGAGCCUAUGUGUCCCUUCAAGGAGCACAGGGAUGUUAAGUGUGGGUCUGUAGCUCUGGGGAGCUGUUUUCCUUUUAGGAAUACUCCUUGCUAGUUUUCAAAUAAUUCUUUAGCACUGAAGUUGGGACCCCUGAGACAUUUUUUUAUGUUCUAAAGACCACUCUGUUAGUUAAGUAAACCUGACUACAACCUUGAACAAAUUUAUAAUCUAUUGAAAUGUUACAGUAAAAGAAAUGCGAAGGUAAAGCAAAAAUUCUAAUUAUUUCAAAGGUAAUUGCAAACUAUCUAGCUGCCCUGAGAGUCUCCCCAAAGUCCCGGCAUUGCUUGGCACUACCACACCCUGUUUUCUGGAGGAUUUUUAGUUCAAACACGUACCUAAAUUUGACCAGAUAUCUAAAUUCCCAUUUGGAGACACAUCAUGGCAUGUAGGAUACUUUCCUACUUUUUCGCUAAAAAAGGUUUUCGAUCGAAAGUUGAAUGCUGUGGAUGUUGAAGUCCCAUGCGUCUGAGGUCCCAAGUCUCAGAAGCCUUUCCUCAUGCUGUUUCCAUACGUGUUUUCAGUUCUUGGAAUGAAAUUCUCAGAUUAGAACGCAUCAGACCUCUCUUAGUUCUCAUGGAGUAUGUAGAGGCCAUGAUGAACUGAAGAUUUCUCUCUGGUGUGGAUAUGUUUUCUCUUUUACCUCUGAACUUCUACAUCAAGACUUCGUGUGAAUGAGCUCUGCUUUUGAGGAUUCAUGACUCUUUUCCUCCAUGAUUUGAAAAUGUAUAUUCAAAAGAUUAAAAGAUGGAGCUGGCCGAGUGAGGUGGCUCAUGCCUGUAAUCCCAGCACUGUGGGAGGCCGAAGCAGGUGGAUCACUUGAGGUCAGCAGUUCAAGACCACCCUGGCCAACAUGGUGAAACCCUGCCUCUACUAAAAAUACAGAAAUUAGCCAAGUGCAAUGGCAGGCACCUGUAAUCCCAGCUACUCGGGAAGCUGAGGAUGGAGAAUCACUUGAACCCUGGAGGCAGAGGUUGCAGUGAACUGAGAUCACACCACAGCACUCCAGUCUGGGUGACUCAGUCUUGAAAAAUGAAAUGAAAUAAAAUAAAAUAAAAGAUAGAGCUGGAGUUUUGCUGGUUACUAUUAUUUAAUCAGAGGACAUAUCACCCUCCUCACAAAGGUGAGAAUCACACAGUCCCAGGAGGUUGUUUGGGCACCAGCUACAGGCCCACAGUCACCGUCAGCAAAAUCAAAUGUGUGUGUUACACACAGACGUCUCAUCUCCAUGGGCUUAUAGACACCAGGCUAGGCAACUAAAAGGGAAAAGUAUUUUUUAUUUUUAUUUUGUUUCUUCCAAGUUAAAGCAUGCUUUUCCUGUUUAUAAAACUUCUGUUUUUGGAAACACUUCUCACUGUACUUUACCAUGAGCAAGGUAAGAUAAGUUUUAUAAGUAGGAAAGCAUGCUUUUAUUUUUGUUUUUAUUUUAUACAAGUAAAGAAGAAAAUAAAAGCAAAACAAAAAUUUAUCUCUCUCAAGUGUCUACUCUCAAUGUUUUGUGCUUGCCACACCCCAUAGUCUAUACACAUACAUACUUACAAAGAGGAUUGUUCACCUGUGGGCUUGUUUAACAUACAUUUAUUUUAUAAUGUAUCAUAUAUAUCUUUUCAUAAUUUUUAAAAAAUUAUCUCUUCACUAUAAUGACUACAUAUGUUUGCAUUCUGGGGUGUUAAUUUAAUUUAAUUAGCAAAUCAUUUAUCAAUGCAUAUUUACUGUGACUAUGAUUGUUUAUAUUUUAACUAAUGUUGUGAUGACAUUCUUGUGUAUAUUUUGUUGCAAUACAUUUCCCAAAGGACAAUUUUUCAGCCUUAGGUUUUUCACAUUUCAUAUCUCUGAGACUGUGCUCCAUAAAGCUAUAUGGAUUUGGAUCCCCGUUAGAGACGUGUCUACACUCAUUUCUGAUAAAUGCACACAGGUAUCUCCAGGACUUAUGCCCUGCCCAGAAUACACUGGUUUUCUAUAAAUACUGUUGAAUGAAUAAAUGUAUCUUUAACAUUACCAUGGUGUUUUUUAACCUCUGUCAACAUGAGAAGCAAAACCUACCUCCUUGUUUUAAUUUACAUUUGUUUAAUUGCCUGUGAGGCCCAACAUCUUUUCAUAAAUGCCUGGCUAAUUUGUGUAUUUAUUUUUCCUCUUGUGAACUGCCUACUCAUUUUCUUUUGAUGUUAUUGAUGUGUAGGAUUCUCCUUGUUGACUUGUAAGAAUAAUUUAGAAACUAGUGAGUAAAUCUUUGUUUUGUGUGUCAAUUUUUUUUCAAUUAUUUGCUUGUCUUUUAUUGUUUGGUUGCUUUUACCUUAGGUAAAAAGGUAAGUGUUAUGUCUUUCUCCAGGUUUAAUUUAUUUAUUUUUUUGGAGGAGGGAUAUUCUGGGUCUUUACUACAUAACCCACCUCUACUCCAAAAGCAUAAUUUUUCACUAUUUUUAUAAACAUUAAUAUAUGUCCCAAACAUAAUUUUUGUCCUCAUUUUUUUAGAACACAGAACAACACACAGUUUUAGAACAUAAAGCAUAAAAUUUUUGAGUGUAUUAGUCUGUUCUCAUGCUGCUUAUAAAGACAUACCCAAGACUGGGUAAUUUAUAAAGAAAAGAGGUUUAAUGGACUCACAGUUCCACAUGGCUGGGGGAGCCUCACAAUCAUGGCAGAAGACGAAUGCGGAGCAGAGUCACAUCUUACAUGGCUGCAGGCAAUAGAGAUUGUGUAGGGGAACUGCCCUUUAUAAAACCAUCAGAUCUCGUGAGACUUAUUCACUAUCAAGAGAACAGCAGGGAAAAGACCUGCCCCAUGAUUCAAUUACCUCCCACUGGGUCCCUCCCACAACAUGUGGGGAUUAUGGGAGCUACAAUUCAAGAUGAAGUUUUGGGGGGGACACAGCCAGACCACAUCAAAGGGUCUUCAUUUGAAUUGUUUUCCACAUGAGGAUGAGAAGAUUUCUAUUUUUUUAAUUUAAAUACUAGUCAGCUGAGUAUUUUUUACUCAGUAUCAUUUACUGAAAACCUAACUUUUCCCCAGAGUUGAAAGGACAUCUCUGUUAAAUAUGAGAUUUGCAUAUAAAACUGGAUAAAGCUUAAACUCUGAAUUCUCUUCUUCUUAUCCCCCCAUCUAUUGCUAGGCCUGUAACAUACCCUACCAUUUGAAUUAUUUACCUUUCAAGUGCAUUUUAUGUUUUCUUAAUUUAUAUGGUCCUCUUUAUGCUUCCUUGCAUAAUUCCCACUCCCAUUUUUGUAUAUUUAUUUUCUGGAUAAGCUUUAGAAUAAUUGCUGUUGUGUUUUAAAAUAUUGGUGGAACUUUAUUAAGAUGCUAUUGAAUAUAUGAAUUAAAUUGGGAAGACUUGUCAUCUUAAUGAAAUAGAAUCUUCCCAUCUAAGAAGCAGGUAUGAUUUUCAAUAUUUCAUCAUAUGUUUAUACAUACAACAUGGCUUUUAAAUUUCAUUUCAGGAAAGUAUAGAAAUAUGGGCUGACUUGCUAUCAUUUUUUUUUUUUUUGAGAUGGAGUUUCAUUCUUGUUGCCCAAGCUGGAGUGUAAUGGCGUGAUCUUGGCUCACUGCAACCUCGGCCUCCCAGGUUCAAGCAAUUCUCCUGCUUCAGCCUUCUGAGUAGCUAGGAUUACAGGCAUGCGCCACCACAGAUGACUAAUUUUGUAUUUUUAGUAGAGACAGGGUUUCUCCAUGUUGGUCAGGCUGGUCUCGAACUCCCAACCUCAGGUGAUCCACCCGCCUUGGCCUCCCAAAAUGCUGGGAUUAUAGCCAUGAGCCACCGCGCCCGGCCCAAGAGUUGCUAUCUUAAUGAAAUAUAACCUUCCCAUCUAAGAAGCAGAGUUUUGCUCGGUCACUCACGGCAACCUCCGCCUCCUGGGUUCAAGCAGUUCUCCUGCCUCAGUCUCCCGAGUAGCUGGGACUCUACAGGCAUCCCCCAUCAGGUAAUGGCAGCCCUGCCCUGCCACAGCGGCCUGAUGCAGUACAGGAACCUGUCUCUCCUCUAUGUCGGUGGAUUAAAAUGAACCAGACAGCACCAAAUCCUGGGAAAUGGUAGAAGCCAAGGCCCUGAGAUUACACUGGACCAGCUGACUCAUGGGGAAUCCUCAGGUGAUGGGAAGACAUGGGGGAGCUCUCCAGCAAUUGUGGUUAAUGCUGGUGCAGGACAGGCUUUCAUGACCAUCAAAACUACUGCCACCACCAAAAUUCAGUGGAUGCCUGCGUGAGUUGGGGUGAAAUGGCAUCUUGAACCUUUCAAAUGACAUUCAUCCCAGGGCUUGAAAACAGAAAUCCUGCCAAGUCCCACGUUUUCUUCGGUUCCAAGCACAGAGAGACAUU